rnacentral:rRNA from 1 species
ACAAGCGGUGGAUGAUGUGGAUUAAUUCGAUGCAACGCGAAAACCUUACCUACCCUUGACAUGUCUGGAACCUUGGUGAGAGCCGAGGGUGCCUUCGGGAGCCAGAACACAGGUGCUGCAUGGCUGUCGUCAGCUCGUGUCGUGAGAUGUUGGGUUAAGUCCCGCAACGAGCGCAACCCUUGUCACUAGUUGCCAUCAUUUAGUUGGGCACUCUAGUGAGACUGCCGGUGACAAACCGGAGGAAGGUGGGGAUGACGUCAAGUCCUCAUGGCCCUUAUGGGUAGGGCUUCACACGUCAUACAAUGGUCGGUACAGAGGGUUGCCAACCCGCGAGGGGGAGCUAAUCCCACAAAGCCGAUCGUAGUCCGGAUCGCAGUCUGCAACUCGACUGCGUGAAGUCGGAAUCGCUAGUAAUCGUGGAUCAGCAUGUCACGGUGAAUACGUUCCCGGGUCUU